rnacentral:rRNA from 1 species
CCUACGGGUGGCAGCAGUGGGGAAUAUUGGACAAUGGGCGAAAGCCUGAUCCAGCCAUGCCGCGUGUGUGAAGAAGGCCUUCGGGUUGUAAAGCACUUUCAGUGGGGAAGAAAGCCUUGGGGCUAAUACCCUCGAGGAAGGACAUCACCCACAGAAGAAGCACCGGCUAACUCCGUGCCAGCAGCCGCAGGUAAUACGGAGGGUGCGAGCGUUAAUCGGAAUUACUGGGCGUAAAGCGCGCGUAGGCGGUCUGAUAAGCCGGUUGUGAAAGCCCCGGGCUCAACCUGGGAACGGCAUCCGGAACUGUCAGGCUAGAGUGCAGGAGAGGAAGGUAGAAUUCCCGGUGUAGCGGUGAAAUGCGUAGAGAUCGGGAGGAAUACCAGUGGCGAAGGCGGUCUUCUGGACUGACACUGACGCUGAGGUGCGAAAGCGUGGGUAGCAAACAGGAUUAGAUACCCUUGUAGUC